rnacentral:rRNA from 1 species
GGGCCCGCACAAGCAGCGGAGCGUGUUGCUUAAUUCGAUGCAACGCGAAGAACCUUACCAGGGUUUGACAUCCUGCGAAUCUCUUGGAAACGAGAGAGUGCCUUCGGGAACGCAGUGACAGGUGGUGCAUGGCUGUCGUCAGCUCGUGUCGUGAGAUGUUGGGUUAAGUCCCGCAACGAGCGCAACCCACGUCGUUAGUUGCCAGCAUUUAGUUGGGCACUCUAGCGAGACCGCCGGUGAUAAACCGGAGGAAGGUGUGGAUGACGUCAAGUCAUCAUGCCCCUUACAUCCUGGGCUACACACGUACUACAAUGCUACGGACAAAGGGCAGCAAACUCGCGAGAGCUAGCAAAUCCCAUAAACCGUGGCUCAGUUCAGAUCGUAGGCUGCAACUCGCCUACGUG